rnacentral:sRNA from 1 species
GCUGGGUGUGGUGGCGCACGCCUGUAAUCCCAGUCAUUUGGAAGGCUGAGGUAGGAUGAACGCAAGUUCUGGGCUAGCCUCAG